UACGGGGGGGGCAAGCGUUGUUCGGAAUUACUGGGCGUAAAGAGUGUGUAGGCGGUGCUCUAAGUCUGUUGUGAAAUCUCCCGGCUUAACCGGGAGGGUGCGGCGGAAACUGGAGUGCUUGAGGGUGGGAGAGGUAAGCGGAAUUCCUGGUGUAGCGGUGAAAUGCGUAGAUAUCAGGAGGAACACCUGUGGUGUAGACAGCUUACUGGACCACUUCUGACGCUGAGACACGAAAGCGUGGGUAGCAAACAGG
rnacentral:rRNA from 1 species